rnacentral:rRNA from 1 species
GAUGAACGCUAGCUACAGGCUUAACACAUGCAAGUCGAGGGACCGGCGCACGAGUGAGUAACACGUAUCCAGCCUGCCCUUUACUCGUGGAUAGCCUUUCGAAAGAACGAUAAAUACCCGAUAUAAUGGCUGGGGUUGCGUUCCAUUAGGUUUUUGGUGAGGUAACGGCUAGCCAAGCCUUCGAUGGUUAGGGGUUAUGAGAGGAAGUCCCCCCAGAUUGGAACGGAGACCAGGUCCAAACCCGUAGGGGGCGCAGGGGUGUGGAAGAUUGGUCACUGGUGCCUAGCCUGACCCAGCCAAGUAGCGUAAAGGAGUAUGGGUUAUGUAUCGUAAAUUUCUUUUAUAUAAGAAUCGGUAUCAUAUGAAUAAGGAUCGGCUAACUCCGUGCCAGCAGCCGCGGUAAUAC